UCCUAGAUCGUCUAGUGGCCAAGAUUCCGCCUCUCACGGCGGCGACCGGGGUUCAAUUCCCCGUCUGGGAG
rfam:Rhizoclosmatium globosum strain JEL800 BCR33scaffold_17, whole genome shotgun sequence.